GACGAACGCUGGCGGCGUGCCUAAUACAUGCAAGUCGAACGAACCGCGACUAGGUGCUUGCACUUGGUCAAGGUGAGUGGCGAACGGGUGAGUAACACGUGGGUAACCUACCUCAUAGUGGGGGAUAACAGUCGGAAACGACUGCUAAUACCGCAUAGGACAUAGGAUCACAUGAUCCAGUGAGGAAAGGUGGCGCAAGCUAUCGCUAAGAGAUGGACCCGCGGUGCAUUAGCUAGUUGGUAGGGUAAAGGCCUACCAAGGCGAUGAUGCAUAGCCGACCUGAGAGGGUGAUCGGCCACAUUGGGACUGAGACACGGCCCAAACUCCUACGGGAGGCAGCAGUAGGGAAUCUUCCGCAAUGGACGCAAGUCUGACGGAGCAACGCCGCGUGAGUGAAGAAGGUCUUCGGAUCGUAAAGCUCUGUUGUUAGAGAAGAGCAGCGCAUAGAGUAACUGUUAUGCGUGUGACGGUAUCUAACCAGAAAGCCACGGCUAACUACGUGC
rnacentral:rRNA from 1 species